rnacentral:rRNA from 1 species
UACAGAGGUCUCAAGCGUUGUUCGGAUUCAUUGGGCGUAAAGGGUGCGUAGGCGGCGCGGUAAGUCGGGUGUGAAAUCUCGGAGCUUAACUCCGAAACUGCAUUCGAUACUGUCGUGCUUGAGUUCGGGAGAGGUGAGUGGAACUGCGAGUGUAGAGGUGAAAUUCGUAGAUAUUCGCAAGAACACCAGUGGCGAAGGCGGCUAACUGGUCCAGCACUGACGCUGAGGUGCGAAAGCGUGGGGAGCAAACAGG